GAUGAACGCUGGCGGCGUGCCUAAUACAUGCAAGUCGAACGCAUAGCGAAAGGUGCUUGCCCCUUUCAAGUGAGUGGCGAACGGGUGAGUAACACGUGGACAACCUGCCUCAAGGCUGGGGAUAACAUUUGGAAACAGAUGCUAAUACCGAAUAAAACUUAGUGUCGCAUGACACAAAGUUAAAAGGCGCUUCGGCGUCACCUAGAGAUGGAUCCGCGGUGCAUUAGUUAGUUGGUGGGGUAAAGGCAUACCAAGACAAUGAUGCAUAGCCGAGUUGAGAGUCUGAUCGGCCACAGUGGGACUGAGACACGGCACAAACUCCUACGGGAGGCUGGAGUAGAGAAUCUUCCACAAUGGGCGAAAGCCUGAUGGAGCAACGCCGCGUGUGAUGAAGGCUUUCGGGUCGUAAAGCACUGUUGUAUGGGAAGAACAGCUAGAAUAGGAAAUGAUUUUAGUUUGACGGUACCAUACCAGAAAGGGACGGCUAAAUACGUG
rnacentral:rRNA from 1 species